rnacentral:rRNA from 1 species
UCGAACGAAGUAGCAAUACUUAGUGGCAGACGGGUGAGUAACAUGUAGGUAUCUGCCCUUUGGCCUGGAAUAACACGAGGAAACUUGUGCUAAUACCGGAUAAGUCUUUACGGAGAAAGCUUUAUGCACCAUUGGAUGAGCCCGCACUUGAUUAGUUUGUUGGUAGGGUAAUGGCCUACCAAGACUAUGAUCAAUAGCUGAUUUGAGAGGAUGAUCAGCCACAUUGGGACUGAGACACGGCCCAAACUCCUACGGGAGGCAGCAGUGGGGAAUCUUGCACAAUGGAGGAAACUCUGAUGCAGCGAUGCCGCGUGAGUGAAGAAGGCCCUUGGGUUGUAAAGCUCUUUCGUCGGGGAAGAAAAUGACUGUACCCGAAUAAGA